rnacentral:lncRNA from 12 species
GUGGGAUGAGGGGCUCGAAUGGGAGACAGUACAGUCCUGGGUCCUGACUCAGAGCUCGUCACCACAUCCCUAUGCUGUUUGACUGUCUGAUUUCAGAACCUCCUUGCUCUGGACAGGUGUCUGUGUGAGUGGAUUUAAACUGUAUUUUUCAUCCAUUUCUUUUAGUCUCUGGUGACCUCAUUGUGUCGAAAGGACAGGACUUGAUGCAUGCUCUGUCAGUGGUGAUCAUAGUUACUGAGAUGGGUCUGCACUGAUGUCUGGGAGUUUGGACUGAAUCUUAAUGACAUGUGAAGGCGACCUGCAAGAAAUAUACUGCUCUGUUGGAAAGCUGGUGCUCUGCUAGGCAGGAGGAAUCCUCACAGAUUGGCGGUUCCCCUUCUGUCAGGCCCUGUUAUGGACAGUGUUCAUGUGGUCAAAGCUUAUCUAAAGGCUGAACAAGUCAACACUGUAAUCUUCUGGAAUGUUGGAAAAGGGGAAAAGCAUGGAAAUCGAGAAAUCAGCAUCCAGAAGAAUCCCAGUGACAAGCUGGGCUCUAGCUAAAAACGAUGCCUGAUGUUUAUCCCUGGAUAUGAGCAUGUCCAAGAACACUAUUUUAUAUCAAUGGUCAAGAAACAUCUUCCUAUUCUGGAGUUAUGGGAAGGUACCCUUCAGCAAUACAGAGGUGGAAGGAAGAAUAUUUGAAGGAGACUGAUAUUUAUGUCACCUAUAUUAUACCAGGUACUAUGUUAAGUGUUAUAUAUACAUACUACCUCAUUUAAUAAUCAUAACAGCUAUGCAGUUGUUAUUAUUAAUCCCCUUUUUACAGAUGAAAAAACCAACCCAGAAAGGUAAGUUCAAUUAUUAUGGGACACAAAACCACAAAUAAUCCAAUUAAAAAUUGGCAGAAGACAUGAAGAGACCUUUCUCCGAAGAAGACAUACAGAUUGAUAAUAGACACAUGAAAAGAUGCUCAACAUCACUGAUUAUCAGGGAAAUGCAAAUCAAAAGUACAACGAGAUAACACUUUAUACCUGUCAGAAUGGCUAAAAUCAACAACACAAAAAACAAGUGUUGAGGAGGAUGUGGAGAAAGGGAAACCCUCAUGCAGUGUUGGUGAGAAUAUAAAUUGGUGCAGUCACUGUGGAAAACAGUGUGGAGGGUCCUCAAAAAGUUAAAAAUAGAAUCCAGUAGUCCCAUCAUUUGAUAUUUACCAAAAAGAUACAAAAACACUGAUUCAGAGAGAUACAUUCAUCCCUAUAUUUAUUGCAGCAUUAUUUACAAUAGCCAAAUUAUGGAAGUGGUCCAAAUGUCCACUGACAGAUGAAUGGGUAAAGAAGGUGUGGUAUAUGUGUGUGUGUGUAUAAAAUGAAAUAUUACUCAGCCUUAAAAAAGAAUGAAAUCUUUGCAACAGCAUAAAUGGAUCUAGAGAGUAUAGAGAUAAGUGAAAUAAGUCAGAGAAAGACAAAUAUAUGAUUUCACUCAUAUGUGGAAUUUAAGUAACAAAACAAAAAAAACAAAGGAAAAAAAGAGUGAGACAAACCAAGAAACAGACUCUUAACUAUAGAGAACAAACAAAUGGUUACCAGAGAGGUGAGUAGGGGAUGAGUUAAAUAGGUGGAAGGGAUUAAAGGGUACAUUUAUCAUGAUCAGAAUAGGUAAUAUACGGAACUGUUGAAUCACUACGUGGUACACCUAAAACUAAUAUAACACUGUAUGUUAACUAUAAUGAAAUUAAAACAAAAAACUUAAUAUAAAAAAAUUUAUACCAAGUCAUAUGACUAGAACAUCAGGAGCCAUAUUUGAAGCUCAGUCUGUUUGACUUUAAAACAUAUGAUGUUUUGGGGCCUCUGGGUGGCUCGGUCAGUUAAGCAUCCAACUCCUGAUUUCAGCUCAGGUCAUGAUCUCAGGGUCCUACGAUGAAGCCCUCCUGUCAGGCUCCCUGCUGAGUGUGGAAUCUGCCUGAGAGUCUGUCUUCUUUUUCUCUGCCUUGCCCUGCUUUCACUCUCUCACUCUCUCUCUAAGUAAAUAAAUAAAUAUUUUAAAAAAUAAAACCA